UACAGAGGGUGCGAGCGUUAAUCGGAAUUACUGGGCGUAAAGCGUGCGUAGACGGUUAUCUAAGUCGGAUGUGAAAGCCCCGGGCUCAACCUGGGAAUGGCAUUCGAGACUGUGCAGCUAGGAUGCGGAAGAGGGAAGCGGAAUUUCCGGUGUAGCGGUGAAAUGCGUAGAUAUCGGAAGGAACACCAGUGGCGAAGGCGGCUUCCUGGUCCAGCAUCGACGUUCAGGCACGAAAGCGUGGGGAGCAAACAGG
rnacentral:rRNA from 1 species